rnacentral:rRNA from 1 species
CCUACGGGUGGCAGCAGUGGGGAAUAUUGCGCAAUGGGCGAAAGCCUGACGCAGCGACGCCGCGUGCGGGAUGAAGGCCUUCGGGUUGUAAACCGCUGUCGGGAGGGACGAAGUUCUGACGGUACCUCCAAAGGAAGCACCGGCUAACUCUGUGCCAGCAGCCGCGGUAAUACAGAGGGUGCAAGCGUUGUCCGGAAUCACUGGGCGUAAAGGGCGCGUAGGCGGCCUGGUAAGUCGGGGGUGAAACGCUGCGGCUCAACCGCAGCACUGCCUUCGAGACUGCUGGGGUUGAGCACGGUAGAGGCUGGUGGAAUUCCCGGUGUAGCGGUGGAAUGCGUAGAGAUCGGGAAGAACAUCGGUGGCGAAGGCGGAUUUCCGGACUAGUACUGACGCUGAGGCGCGAAAGCUAGGGGAGCGAACGGGAUUAGAUACCCCAGUAGUC